AAACAGAGAGAAACAGUAAGAGACAGAAACAUAGAGAGAGAGUUGAUCUGCAAGUAAAAGUAAUUUCCGAUUCUUCUUUAUCGCAUAAAUCUGAAGGCCAUCAGCAUCAUCAUCAACAUUACCCAUGAGCAAGUACAGUUACUACUAUGUGAGAAAACCUGAAGUGUACUUCGUCGUUAUUGAAACCUUCGAAGACCGAAGUAUUUUAAACUUAAAUUUUAAGUGUAAGUUUGCCGCGAAUAUUCGAAAUUGUAACAAAUAUGGAUAAAAAAAAAAAAGAAAAAAACAUUACGAAAACAAACAUGAAAUUCUUUCGUUUUCAUGGGCUUCUCUUCUAGAUACUCAACUAUCAUUUCGGAAGAUAUCAGCGUACAGAUUAUUUUGGU